GGUGCGGUCGACUGCGGUGCGUCUUCCUGGAUCAUUGCGGCUUCGUGUUCGGUCAUCUUCAUUCAAAUCUCCUCUUUCUUGGGCAACGCUGAGGACGACUAAUUGAAAGUAGACACACUUCCUGCUCAGAGUGUUUAGUCACCAGAAACUCAUGCAACAUUAUUCUUUUUAAAGCAACAAAUGAGGCAAAGUGGAGUGCCCUAUUUGGUUGCGGCCAGCAGAGGCGCUGUUGCUUGAGUCUCAACUGGUUUGCUGUGUAAAGAAGUUAAGCGUGACGUCAACGAUGCGAGUGACAAGAUGCUUUGGCAAGAUACACCCAGCAGGGAGCUGCCAUGCAAGGCGCUAACCAGCACCCAUCAGGAGCAAGGGUGAAGUGUCUUGCUCAAGGACACAACGGACGUGACGAGGACCUCCCAGCACAUGUGGCAGCGACCUCUCACCUCAUCUGGGUCGGAAAGCUUGAACUCCCAGCCGUCGCCUGUCCAGCUGAUGAAGGACUGGCAAGAUUUGUCGGUCAGCAGCUCCAGCAGAAACUGCCACAGCUGGAUGGGCCCGGUACCUGCAGAGUGGAGGGCCAAUGUUCACCCUGAAAUGAAGCAACGAGGGGGAAAGGUUUGUCAUCUUCCCUGGGAAUUGGGACACCACUUGCUACGCAGAAUUUAAGUUUAGGUACGUCAGCAAUAACUUUGUUACGUUUGCACACACAUUGGUUGUCCCGAUACCAAUAUUACUGUACUGCUACAAAAAUGUAAAUCUAUAUGUAUUAUUUUCAAAAUAAAGGGGACCACAAAAAAUGUCA